CGCAGCCGCGGUAAUUCCAGCUCCAAUAGCGUAUAUUAAAGUUGUUGCAGUUAAAAAGCUCGUAGUUGAAUUUCGGGAUCAAUACGUCGGUCGUGCUUCGGUACGUACUGGCGUCAUUGGUUUCUCCCUUCUGACGAACCACGAUGUUAUUAACUUGGUGUCAUGGGAAAUCAGGACUGUUACUUUGAAAAAAUUAGAGUAGUUUAAAGCAGGCUCACGCUUGAAUACAUUAGCAUGGAACAAUGAAAUAGGACGUUCGAUCCUAUUUUGUUGGUUUCUAGGAUCAACGUAAUGAUUAAUAGGGAUAGUUGGGGGCAUUAGUAUUCAAUUGUCAGAGGUGAAAUUCUUGGAUUUAUUGAAGACUAACUACUGCGAAAGCAUUUGCCAAGGAUGUUUUCAUUAAUCAAGAACGAAAGUUAGGGGAUCGAAGACGAUCAGAUACCGUCGUAGUCUUAACCAUAAACUAUGCCGACUAGGGAUCGGAUGAUGUUAAUUUUUAAUGACUCAUUCGGCGCCUUAC
rnacentral:rRNA from 1 species